rnacentral:rRNA from 1 species
GAUGAACGCUGGCGGCGUACCUAACGCAUGCAAGUCGAACGGGGAGGUUGAGGAGCAAUCUGAGACUUUCCAGUGGCAAACGGGUGAGUAACACGUGGGUAAUCUACCCUCCGAUGGGGAAUAACGGAUCGAAAGGUUCGCUAAUACCGCAUAGGGUGGCGGGGAUGCGAAUUCCUGUUACCAAAGCCUUUGGGCGUCGGAGGCGGAGCCUGCGGUCGAUCAGGUAGUUGGUGAGGUAACGGCUCACCAAGCCGCUGACCGAUAGCUGAUCUGAGAGGAUGACCAGCCACACUGGCACUGUGACACGGGCCAGACUCCUACGGGAGGCAGCAGCGAGGAAUAUUGCACAAUGGGCGCAAGCCUGAUGCAGUAACGCCGCGUGCGGGAUGAAGACCUUCGGGUUGUAAACCGCUUUUCACGAGGACGAGUGAGGACGGUACUUGUGGAAUCAGUCUCGGCUAACUACGUGCCAGCAGCCGCCGUAAAAC